rnacentral:lncRNA from 10 species
CUCUGUUUUCUGUGGAGUUUUGUGCUUUCUCAGCUACUCCCCGCCAGAAAUGAAAGCUAGGGUCAUGGUCCAUCAGCCCAGCAGAAAAAAGUGAUGAUGGUGUUCCUUGUGAGACACCUGGGGGACUCCAAACAGCCGGAAUCCAUCUGCCCACUGGUCCGGAGACAGGGAUCCUCCGCCUCCUUCCAGGGUUGAUGGCUCAGGAGGCCUUCUCUGCAGGGGACCAGGACACAGGAAAGCCAGGAAGAGAUGAGCUGGGAAGGGAGCUGUUGGGGGCCAUUCUGGUUUUAAAAAUAAAGCAGGACUUUCGUUGCUUGUUAUAAAAGGAACACAUGCUCAUUUUCUGUGAUUUAGGAAAGCGCAGAAAAGUAAAAGGGAAAGAAGAACGUAGCCGCUGCCUAGCACCAGGGAAAAAAGGGCUGUAGUUUUUAGUGUCUGCCUAGACUGUAAAGUUCUAAACUCUAAAACUUGUACAACCCAUUGUUUAAUGGUUGUGUAAUACUCCAUCACAUGAGCACAUCAUGCCCUGGUUACCUGACCCUUACUGGCUAGAGAUGUGUGGUGUUCCUAAUUUUUGCUAUUUUAAAUAACCAU